CGGACUCGUCAUAUCAUCAUAACAACCUCCUUAUAAUUUUUCCUCUCUCUUACAACUCUCUGGAGGCAGAAGAGGAGAGAGAGGAGGGUUCUUCGAAAGCAGGGACAAACUACUAAUCCAGAUUAAAUCAACUACGAGCUCCACUAGUGUGUUUGUUGAAAGUCUCUGUAUGUGCAAUAACAAAAGACGGUAAAAGAGAGGGAGCGACCUGUUAACGCCGGGAAAAGAUCAUUCGUUCGUUGUACCGAAGCCCCGUGGACAUGGAGCGCUUAUGUGGACCAAAGCUCCCGUUCUGGGUAGCCAAUCAGACGCUCCACACAGACAGUCCAGACCUGCCGGAAUGUUUCCAGCUGUCAGUGCUGUCAUGGCUGCCUUGUGUGUACCUGUGGCUUGCUUGCCCUCCCUACCUCUUCUACCUCCAGAGGAACAACAAGGGUUAUAUCAUGAUGUCCAUCCUUAACAGAGUGAAAACGGUCUUUGGGUUGGUGUUGUGGAUUGUGUGUUGGACAGAUCUUUUCGGCACCUUCCAUGAGCUGCAGCAGGGGGACUCAAAGCCACCCAUCUACUUCGUCACUCCACUGGUGGUCGGCAUGACGAUGCUGCUAGCUUUGUUUCUGAUACAGUUUGAGAGGUUGAGGGGGGUCCAGUCUUCAGGGAUUCUAUUUAUAUUCUGGUUCCUGUCAGUGCUGUGUGCCAUAGUGCCUUUCCGCUCCAAGAUCCUACAGGCCAAAUAUCAGAGUGAGAUUUCAGACAAGUUGCGUUUCACCACAUUCUAUUUCUACUUCAGCCUGAUCGUAGCCGAGCUUAUCCUCACUUGCUUCAAUGAGAAACCUCCACUUUUCUCCAACAUAGACACAGACCCCAAUCCUUGUCCUCAAUCAACUGCUGGUUUCCUCUCCACUAUGACCUUCUGGUGGUUCACUAGCAUGGCCAUCAAGGGCUAUAAGAACCCUCUGGAAGCCAAAGACCUGUGGUCACUGAACAAGAGGGACAGCUCAGAGGUGGUCGUCCCCAAGCUACUGCGGGAGUGGGAGGUGGAGCAGGCCAAGGCUCACAGUGCUGUGGACCAGUCCACCCAGGCUCAUUUCUCCAAACCUCCGCCAGCGGGAGAGUCCAACCAUGUAGGGGGGGAGAGCAGUCCUGAGGAGGUGGAGGUGUUGCUGUCCAAACAAAAAGACCCCAAAAAGCCCUCCUUCCUCCGUUCCCUCAUCAAGGCCUUUGGACCCUACUUCCUCAUCGGAUCUGCAUUUAAACUCCUACAGGACCUCAUCACCUUCGUCAACCCACAGCUCCUCAAGUUAUUGAUCUCAUUCACAAAGCAGAAGGGAGCUCCCACCUGGUGGGGAUACGCCCUGGCCUUCCUCAUGUUCUUCGCAGCCUUCCUCCAGACUCUCAUUCUGCACCAACACUUCCAGUACUGCUUCGUCACUGGGAUGAGGCUCCGCACCUCCAUCAUAGGAGCCAUCUACAGGAAGUCUCUGAUUAUCACUAACGCGGCCAAGCGUACAUCUACAGUGGGAGAGAUAGUCAACCUGAUGUCAGUGGACGCUCAGCGCUUCAUGGAUCUCACCACCUUUCUCAACAUGCUGUGGUCCGCCCCACUUCAGAUCAUACUGGCACUAUACUUCCUGUGGCAGAACCUGGGUCCGUCGGUGCUGGCUGGUGUUGCUGUGAUGAUCCUCCUGAUCCCCUUAAAUGCUGCCAUCGCCGUGAGGACACGAGCCUACCAGGUGGAGCAGAUGCAGUACAAGGAUGCUCGCAUCAAACUGAUGAACGAGAUUCUGAACGGGAUCAAAGUGUUGAAGCUGUACGCUUGGGAGAGCUCUUUUAAAGAGAAGGUUCUGGAGAUCAGACAGAAAGAGCUCAAUGUGCUCCGCAAGACGGCCUACCUCGGUGCUCUGUCUACCAUGGCCUGGACCAGUGCACCAUUCCUAGUUGCCUUGACAACGUUUGCAGUGUAUGUGACUGUGGAUAAAAAUAACAUUUUAGACGCGGAGAAAGCCUUUGUAUCUUUGUCUCUUUUCAACAUCUUACGGUUCCCUCUCAAUAUGUUGCCCCAAGUCAUCAGCAGUAUCGUACAGGCCAGCGUGUCCCUGAAGCGUAUCCAGGACUUCCUGAGUCAUGAUGAGCUGGACCCAGAGUCUGUGGACCGGACUAACACUGCCACAGAUAGCUCGGUGACUGUUGUCAACGGGAAGUUCACCUGGGCAAAACAAGAUCCUCCUGCUCUACACAAUAUAAACCUGAUGGUGCCCCAGGGCUCAUUGCUAGCGGUGGUAGGACAUGUCGGCUGUGGAAAGUCUUCUCUGGUGUCAGCUCUAUUGGGAGAGAUGGAGAAAAUGGAGGGAGACAUCUCUAUACAGGGUUCGGUGGCCUACGUCCCGCAGCAAGCCUGGAUCCAGAAUGCCACUCUGAGAGACAACAUCCUAUUUGGCAAGGCCUACAACGAGCACAAGUAUCGCUGUUGUCUGGAUGCCUGCGCUCUGACCCAGGACCUGGAAGUACUACCUGGAGGAGACCUGACCGAGAUCGGAGAGAAGGGAAUCAAUCUCUCAGGUGGUCAGAGACAGAGGGUGAGUCUGGCCAGAGCUCUGUACAAUGAGGCAGACGUCUACCUGCUGGACGACCCUCUCUCUGCCGUGGACGCCCACGUGGCCAAACACAUCUUCGACCAGGUCAUUGGCCCAGAGGGGGCGCUGCAGGGCAAGACGCGUAUCCUGGUGACGCACGGCAUCAGCUUCCUGCCGCAGGUGGAUAACAUAGUGGUGAUGGUGGAGGGCAGGGUGUCGGAGAUGGGCUCGUACCAAGAGCUGCUCAAACAGAAUGGGGCAUUCGCUGAGUUCCUCAGGAACUAUUCCCUGGAGGACAUCAUCGAGGAGGACGAGGCAACAGAGGCUUUGAUUGACGAAGAAGAAAACUUCCCUGACGACGCCCUUAGCAACCAUACAGACAUGGUGGACAACGAACCAGUGGUCAAUGAGGCAAAGAGACAGUUCAUAAGGCAGAUCAGCAUCAUCUCAGGGGACCUGGAGAACCCAAAGAGCAGGUCUGUCCGGAAGCGUCUGUGCAGCGAGAGGAAGCAUGCCGAAUCUGACUCAGAGAAGAAACUACCCAAGGUGGAGAAACUCAUCCAAGCAGAGACCGCUGAGACAGGCAGGGUGAAGAGCAAGGUGUUCUGGGAAUAUGCCAAGGCAGUAGGGCCUCUGCUGUCCCUCUUCAUCUGUUUCCUGUACGGCUGCCAGAGUGCUGCCUCCAUCGGAGCCAACGUCUGGCUGAGCCAGUGGACCAAUGACGCAGCUCAGAACGUGACCCAGGAGAAUGUCAGCAUGAGGGUGGGGGUGUAUGCUGCUUUGGGCAUGGCACAAGGGCUCCUGGUCAUGGUCUCCUCCUUCACCCUGGCCAUGGGGAACAUCGGAGCAGCCAGGAAGCUCCACUAUGCCCUCCUGGACAACAAGUUUCACACCCCCCAGUCUUUCUUUGACACCACCCCCAUAGGCAGGGUCAUCAACCGCUUCUCUAAGGACAUCUACGUCAUCGACGAGGCACUGCCCUCCACUGUUCUCAUGUUCCUCGGGACCUUCUUCUCCUCUCUCUCCACCAUGAUAGUCAUAGUGGCCAGCACCCCCAUCUUCGCCGUGGUCAUAGCCCCGCUGGCUUUCAUAUACAUCUUUGUCCAGGUGUGCUGUUGCUGGCCAACUGUCUGCUGUCCAAGGCCUACAGCAUGCUGCGGGCAGCCGAACUCAUGCACCUCCACAUGCUCCAGAGGUUGCUGAGGGCACCCCAGGGCUUCUUCGAGAGCACCCCCACGGGGCGCGUACUCAACCGCUUCAGCAAAGACGUGGACAUUAUAGACUCGCACAUCCCAGACAAUAUUGAUAUAUGGAUGCGCACUUUCUGGUACACAGUGAAUGUGCUGAUCGUAUGCUCUGCCCUCACCCCUCUGUUCCUACUAGUCGUAGUGCCGUUAAUGGUGUUCUAUUGGUGGGUCCAGAGAUUUUAUGUGGCCACAUCUCGGCAGUUAAAGCGUCUGGAGUCGGUCAGCAGGUCUCCUAUAUACUCCCAUUUCUCUGAGACCGUCACUGGCUCUAGUGUCAUCAGAGCCUACUGCAGACACGAUGCCUUUGUACUAAUGAGUGACAUGAAGGUGGAUGAGAACCAGAAGAGUUACUACCCUGGUAUAGUGUCCAACAGGUGGUUAGGGGUGCGUAUAGAGUUCAUUGGGAACUGCAUCGUACUGUUUGCUGCUCUGUUUGCUGUGAUCGGGAAAGACAAGCUCAACCCUGGACUGGUGGGACUCUCUGUGUCCUACGCUCUACUGGUGACCAUGUCACUGAACUGGAUGGUGAGGAUGACGUCAGAUCUGGAGAGCAACAUCGUAGCCGUGGAGAGAGUCAAGGAGUACUCUGAGACCAAGACUGAGGCCCCGUGGGAGGUGGAGGACAAGAAGCCUUCGCCUGAUUGGCCGUCCGAGGGGAACGUAGAGUUCAGUGACUACAGUGUGAGGUACAGAGAGGGACUGGAGCUGGUCCUUAAGAACCUCACCGUCAGUGUCAAAGGAGGAGAGAAGAUAGGUAUCGUGGGUCGUACUGGGGCUGGUAAGUCCUCUAUGACACUGUGCCUGUUUCGACUUCUGGAGGCGGCAGGGGGAGAGAUCACCAUCGACGGGGUCAAGAUAUCAGAGAUAGGACUGCAUGACCUUAGAUCUAAACUCACCAUUAUACCACAGGAGCCAGUGCUGUUCUCUGGCAGUCUGAGGAUGAACCUGGACCCCUUUGAGAGGUACAGUGACGGGGAGGUAUGGAAGGCUCUGGAACUGUCCCACCUCAACAAGUUUGUCAGCAACCAGCCGGCUAAACUGGAGCUGGAGUGUUCAGAGGGAGGAGAGAACCUCAGUGUGGGCCAGAGGCAGCUGGUAUGUUUAGCCAGGGCUCUUCUGAGGAAGACGAGGAUUCUGAUUCUGGAUGAAGCUACAGCUGCCAUCGACCUAGAGACCGACGAUCUCAUCCAGUCAACCAUCAGGACACAGUUUGAGGACUGCACCGUCUUCACCAUCGCUCACAGACUCAACACCAUCAUGGACUAUACUAGAGUGCUGGUCUUGGACAAGGGACAGAUUGCUGAAUUUGACACUCCUACAAACCUCUUAUUCCGGAGAGGAAUCUUCUAUGGUAUGGCUAAAGAUGCAGGACUGGCACAAUAGCACUGCCUCUCCUCUACACACACACAGUCCUGUACCUAGAUAAAAACCUAUAGUGCCUUGUGUCAGAUCACAGAGCGCCAGUGAAUGUAUCCUUUUAUACUCUGCAGUCCGCUUCAAAACCAGGAUAAAAAUGUUAGUUUCUUUUUUUAAAUGUUACUUUUUCUAAAAAAGAAAAGACAGAAAAACUGUGUCACUGUAAUUUCCACGAGUGAGUUUCAGGAUGAAUCCAGCUAUUUUUGUACUGUAUCAUUUUUAUUAUUUAAGCUAUACUUUUUAUUAUUACGAGUUGUCUGAUUGGGAAGUUUGCUCUGUUCAAUGUGUGAUUUCCUUUGUGAACCAAAUCUGUAAAAACUUGAAUUCUGUACUACCAAAAUAUGAGAGAUGGUGGUAAUGCCUUUAUUAAAAAAAAGAAAGACCUUAA